rnacentral:misc_RNA from 1 species
GAUUAAACUAAAAUAAAAUUUUAAAAAAAAAGUACAAUUAAAGAGCUUGGCUUUUGAUAGGUUUUGGUUGAAAAUGGAACAAGUAGCCAUCAAGGACUAAUAUAUUAUAAUUAACAAUCAUUAUUGUUGGAAUCAGCCAAGUGCCCACUUGGAGUUAAAUUGUAGUUUAAUCUUUACAUGGAGCAAAUCAGAUGGUGCUGGUAUGUUUGACAGGGAUUUAA